GGUGGUGAGCCCUCGGAUAAGGGCAAAGGUAUUGCACCCGAGGAUCAAGAAUAAGAGUGUUGUAAAUUCCCGUCAAAGUGAGUAACCACUAUUCAUCUUAUCUAUCUAAAGUAUUUUUACAAUCGUUUUUAUGAUUUUAAGAAUAUUGAACCUAAAUGAAUUUUAUGUUCUAUGAUUAGUAAUCGAUUUAAGGAAUAAGGUUUAUGAAUUAUUUUACAAUUCAAUCAUGUUUUUGAAAAUGAGAGUAUGUGGAGACCAACCUUUGAUGUUGCCUAUAUAUUUAAGUUUACGUACCAAUGUUUGGAAUUGAUGAUUUAUGAACUGAUACGUGAAAACAUAUGUGGCUGGGUUUUUGAGUUGUGAAAUAUAUAAACUGUUGUUUUCCUUUGACAGGCUGGGUAAUAUUAUGUUAGCCACGUUAUGCUGUCAAAAUUUUAUUGAUUGGUGGGUUAUUUAAUUAGCCACUGCAGUAGGCGAGUUUCCAUGGACCAGCCUAUUAGAGGGGCACGAUAAACCCCGUUAUAUUCACCUUAGUAUGAGAGGCGCAGAGGAUAUCUCCUAAGGUACGAUAGAGUUCACUUCACGUUGAACCACCGCUUGAGGAUGAACUCUGCCAAUGCCAAGGGAUGGCUAAAUUAUGUUUUUAUGAGUAGUUGUUAACUUAAUAACCUUAGUAGACCCAAUUGAAUGCCUCGGCCAAGGUAUCACGGAGUAUGAUUUUUGGCACGAGCCAAGUUUUUGAGAAAAUUAUAAGUCAAGAUGUGUAUUAUAAUGAAAUGUGUUGUUUUAUAUAUAUGAUUUGAAACAAGUACAAAAUGUUGUGGAUUAUGGUAUGAUGAAAAGUUAACUGUCUCCAUUUACUCGGCUUUAGAUGUUAAUGACGAACUUUGUUUACUCACUGAGUUUAUGAAAACUCUACCCUUUUUUUUUUUUAACCAUUUCAGGUUCAGGAUAAUCUGUAGGUAGUCGAUUUCAUCAAGGAUCUCUUUUGGACUUACUUCCUUGAAAAUCGUAAGUCUACAUUCUAGUACACUUUUGGUUAUCUCAAGGUCCAUAUGCCACUGUAAGAUAAUUUUGAAUACCUGGUUUACUGUAUCACUAUGUGUAUGAAUUUAUUUUGUUCUCA
rnacentral:lncRNA from 1 species